GGUUUCCUACGGGGGGCAGCAGUGGGGGAUAUUGCACAAUGGGGGGAACCCUGAUGCAGCGACGCCGCGUGGGUGAAGAAGCGCCUCGGCGAGUAAAGCCCUGUCAGCAGGGAAGAAAAUGACGGUAACUGAAGAAGAAGCCCCGGCUAACUACGUGCCAGCAGCCGCGGUAAUACGUAGGGGGGAAGCGUUAUCAGGAUUUACUGGGAGUAAAGGGGGCGCAGACGGCGAUGCAAGCCAGGAGUGAAAGCCCGGGGCCCAACCCCGGGACUGCUCUUGGAACUGCGUGGCUGGAG
rnacentral:rRNA from 1 species